UGUGUGCUUCUCCGUAAUCUUUCCACAUUGUUGUCCUACUGAACCAAAGAAGGCCACGUUACGCUGGAGUUCCCCACUCCACCACCACCGCUUCAUCCAUCUGUCUCUCUAUUGCUCUCGCUCAUUAUCUCCUCGGUAACAGUCCCCAUGGUGAUAGCGUAGCUGCAAAUCCAGGACAUCCUUGAGAAGAGGUGAUACCUUUUUCAGAAGACAAGACCGGGAUAGAAUGGAGCAAGGAAGGGGAUGGGAUGAGAGAGGAGAGAAGAGGAGACAGAAAGUGAGGCGGAAGAAGCUGAGAAUACUUUUUGGAGCAGGUGAAACAGAAGAAAACAGGGGCAGAGGAGGACAAGAAGAUGGCAUGAGGAGAAGAGAGUAAAGAGGAGGAAGUUGACUUCUGUUGGCAGACUAAGGGUAGAGGGAGAUGAGGAGAAGAGUCAGCAUAAAGAAAGUAAAGAACAGCUUUAAAGAAAGAAGGGGAGACAAGGCUGGGAAGGGAAGAGACAAGGAGAGGAAGGAACUGGAAAAAAGAGAAAAGACAGCUAUUCAAGACAUGAGGAGAGUGCCGGGCUCAGCUCUGACACACAUGCAGGCACAGAUGGAGCGAAACUACGUCAUCUCUGAAGCUUGUUCAACGCACAGUGAGUGACGGCAAUGUCGAUAAAGCAGUCGCAAGUGUGGUUACAGUUUUCAAAACUCCUUGCAGCAAUGUAAUGUAAUGGCGAGGCGAAAGCGGACGCGGUGCGGUUAAACUUCCACUGAAACAGACAAGCACAACAAGUCAGGUGACUGACUAACAUGCUGGAGGUUGUAGGCACAACAGGGUUCUCUAUGCCCUGGUUACAUACUGACAGGCUGGAGGUUGUAGGGCAGAGGUUGUAGGGCAAGGCAAC